rnacentral:rRNA from 1 species
AAUGAACGCUGGCGGCAGGCCUAACACAUGCAAGUCGAACGGAUCCUUCGGGAUUAGUGGCGGACGGGUGAGUAACGCGUGGGAACGUGCCCUUUGGUUCGGAAUAGCCUCGGGAAACUGGGAGUAAUACCGGAUAAGCCCUUCGGGGGAAAGAUUUAUCGCCAAAGGAUCGGCCCGCGUUGGAUUAGGUAGUUGGUGGGGUAAUGGCCUACCGAGCCGACGAUCCAUAGCUGGUUUGAGAGGAUGAUCAGCCACACUGGGACUGAGACACGGCCCAGACUCCUACGGGAGGCAGCAGUGGGGAAUCUUAGACAAUGGGGGAAACCCUGAUCUAGCCAUGCCGCGUGAUCGAUGAAGGCCUUAGGGUUGUAAAGAUCUUUCAGUUGGGAAGAUAAUGACGGUACCAACAGAAGAGGCCCCGGCUAACUCCGUGCCAGCAGCCGCCGUAA